GACGAACGCUGGCGGCGUGCUUAACACAUGCAAGUCGAACGGAAAGGCCCUGCUUUUGUGGGGUGCUCGAGUGGCGAACGGGUGAGUAACACGUGAGUAACCUGCCCUUGACUUUGGGAUAACAUCAGGAAACUGGGGCUAAUACCGGAUAGGAGCUCCUGCUGCAUGGUGGGGGUUGGAAAGUUUCGGUGGUUGGGGCUGGACUCGAGGCUUAUCAGCUUGUUGGUGGGGUAGUGGCUUACCAAGGCUUUGACGGGUAGCCGGCCUGAGAGGGGGACCGGCCACAAGGGGACUGAGAUACGGCCCAGACUCGUAUCGGAGGCAGCAGGGGGGAGUAUUGCACAAUGGGCGGAAGCCUGAUGCAGCAAUGCCGCGUUCGGGAUAACGGCCUUCGGGUUGUAAACCGCUUUCGCAUGUGCCGAAGCGUGAGUGACGGUAAUGGGUAAAGAAGCACCGGCUAACUACGUG
rnacentral:rRNA from 1 species